AUUGAACGCUGGCGGAAUGCUUCACACAUGCAAGUCGAACGGCAGCACGGGGGCAACCCUGGUGGCGAGUGGCGAACGGGUGAGUAAUACAUCGGAACGUGCCCAGUCGUGGGGGAUAACGUAGCGAAAGCUACGCUAAUACCGCAUACGAACUCUGGUUGAAAGCGGGGGACUCGCAAGAGCCUCGCGCGAUUGGAGCGGCCGAUGGCAGAUUAGGUA
rnacentral:rRNA from 1 species